AUCCAGCUGACGAGUCUCUAACGGGACGAAACGCAAGUCCUGGAU
rfam:Schistosoma mansoni strain Puerto Rico chromosome 2, complete genome